rnacentral:rRNA from 1 species
CAUGGCUUCGGCUAUGGGGAGAGCGGCGAACGGGUGAGUAACACGUGAGCGAUCUGCCCUCGACACUGGGAUAGCCCGGGGAAACCCGGAUUAAUACCGGAUAGCCUCACGAGUCUACGGGCUCGUGAGAAAAGAUGGCUUCGGCUUUCGGUUGAGGAGGAGCUUGCGGCGGAUUAGCUUGUUGGUGAGGUAACGGCUCACCAAGGCGACGAUCCGUAGCUGGUCUGAGAGGACGGCCAGCCACACUGGGACUGAGACACGGCCCAGACUCCUACGGGAGGCAGCAGUGGGGAAUAUUGGACAAUGGGCGAAAGCCUGAUCCAGCGACGCCGCGUGUGUGAAGAAGGCCUGCGGG